rnacentral:lncRNA from 1 species
CCUGCCUCAGCCUCGCCAGUAGCUGGGACUACAGGCGCCGCCACCACGCUUGACUGUCAAAUUAGCUAUUUUUAAGAGUUGUACCUGGCGAUCAUCAGCAGUAUGAAGAGGAGCUGUGGCGCCAGUGAGAGAAGCUGCAGCCUGUUGAGACUCCACAAGAUUGAAGAUAUGAAAAGAGGAAAUAUGCAUGAAUGCCCGCAUGGAGAACCACCCCCACCUGCUGCUGCCGCUCUAAUGAUCACGCCCAUUAUCAACUGAGGGAUGGCUCUGUGCCUUGUCCUUGCAUUACGUGGACCAAGAACACUUCACAGGACUCAGAGAGGUAAAUAAGAGAAACCUAUUCU